CCUACGGGUGGCAGCAGUGAGGAAUAUUGGUCAAUGGCCGUAAGGCUGAACCAGCCAAGUAGCGUGAGGGAUGACUGCCCUAUGGGUUGUAAACCUCUUUUAUGCGGGGAUAAAGGUGUCCACGUGUGGAUGUUUGCAGGUACCGCAUGAAUAAGGACCGGCUAAUUCCGUGCCAGCCGCCGCGGUAAUACGGAAGGUCCGGGGGUUAUCCGGAUUUAUUGGGGUUAAAGGGAGCGGAGGCCGGUCCUUAAGCGGGCCGUGAAAUUUUGUGGCUCAACCCUGUGAGCGCGGUGCAAACUGGAGACCUUGAGUGCGCGGAAGGCAUGCGGAAUGCGUGGUGUAGCGGUGAAAUGCUUAGAUAUCACGAAGAACCCCGAUUGCGAAGGCAGCCUGCCGCAGCGUUACUGACGCUGAAGCUCGAAAGCGCGGGUAUCGAACAGGAUUAGAUACCCCAGUAGUC
rnacentral:rRNA from 1 species